rnacentral:rRNA from 1 species
AUGGUGACCACUCGGAUAGAGGCUGUGGCUGUAGCAUGCAGCGAUGCUAGUGAAAUUUGUGGAGAUAACAUCUAUCACAUCGAGCCCCUCAAUUCAGAAGACUCCAAGAAGCUGUUCCUCAGCAGAGCAUUUGGCUCCAAGGAUGCCACUUGCCCCACAGAGCUGGAAGAUGAAAUGAACAAAAUUCUCAAGAAAUGUGGUGGGCUGCCAUUGGCCAUUGUCAGCAUUGGCAGCCUUUUGGCCAGCUAUAAAUCACCGGAGCACAAGGAUAUGUGGGAUAGGGUUUGCAAAUCAAUUAGUUAUCAUAUGGAUACCAAUCCCACCCUUGACGGGAUGAGGCAGAUACUCACACUCAGCUACGACCACCUGCCCUAUCACCUCAAGGGUUGCAUGAUGUAUCUUAGUAUUUUCCCGGAGGAUUUUCUCAUCAACAAGGACCGGCUCGUAUACAGAUGGAUCGCUGAAGGAUUGGUUGAGGAGAAGCGGGGGAUGACCCUGUUGGAGGUUGCAGAAGCCUACUAUGACGAGCUGGUGAGUAGGGGCAUGAUUAAUCCCGCUGGCGAAAUAAUCAGCCAUGUCUAUGGAGCUGUGGAGACAUGUCGGGUGCAUGACUUGAUGCUGGAGGUCAUGGUGUCCAAAUCCUUGGAGGCCAACUUUGUCAGCCUGAUAGGUGGGCAGUAUGAUGGGAUGUCCUAUGACACAAUACGCCGCCUCUCCCUCCAUGGUGGUGCGCAGAUGCCCAAGGAAUCUCCAUCCAAGAAGUACUCUCCAUCCAAAAGACCCAAGGAAUCUACAUCCAAGAAAAUGGUUAAGAAGAAUGACUUAAAAGACAUUAAUGUGCAGCAUGUCCGAUCACUGAGUAUGUUUCAGCUCCAAGGGAACAAGCUGCUUGAUCGUCUGGGUGAGUUCACCCUGCUGAGAGUACUUGACCUGGAAGACUGCAAGGGCGUAGAAAACAAGCAUAUGGGUGACAUCUGUCGGAUGUACCUUCUGAGGUAUUUGUCCCUGAGAGGUACAGAUAUCAGUGUGCUGCCUCCGAAAGUCUGUGACCUGGAGCAUUUGCAGACACUUGAUAAGGAUGUCUGGUCUACCAUGUGGAAGCCACCUCAGGGUCUCUGGAAAAUGAAGGCGCUGCGGGAGGUGGGCUGGAUAUUGCUGGAAGAUGAUGCUGUUGAGGUUGCCCAAGAGGUAGGUGAACUAGAAAAUCUGCAAAGGUUAAGUAUCUACGUCGAUUGUGAGAGGCCCAAUGGUCCCAAGGUUCUUGAAGAGCUUGCCCUGUCCCUGAGCAGGACGCACUCUCUCCGGUCGCUCGACAUGGGCACCAUGAGUUAUGAGGCCAAUGCGUUGAACUUUCUCCUUGAGCUCCCCUCGCCGCCACGCCUCCUCCGAUUCCUCAGGAUCGCUGGUGGCAUUGACAAAUUGCCCAACUGGGUUGAAUCGCUCACAUAUCUUGUUGAGUUUCACAUGUCAUGGGCACACUUUAUCGAUGACCAACUAUUUGGGGUUCUGUGUAAGUUGCCCAACCUGAAGAGCAUCUGGAUGCAGCGGAACUGCUACACCGGUCUAGAGCUGAUUGCACGCGCUGCACACAACUUUCCAGCGCUCAAGAAUCUCAGAGGGACCUGUGAUAACGAAAUGCCCAGAGUCUACAAAUUUGAGGAAGGAUCCAUGACAAAGCUCGAGAAACUUUCACUGAAUUUCGACAACUGGAGUGAGAAGAGCAUUGUGGGCAUUGAGCACUUGACAAGCCUUAAAGAGGUGCAGCUCGCAGGUAAGAGAGGGAACCCUGCGCUGGACCGAACUCUGGAGCAGCUAAAGGUGGAGAGUGGAAGGCACCCCAAUCAGUUCACAGUUGGAGUGAAGUACGACUAA